rnacentral:lncRNA from 1 species
GCAACGCCGGAUCCUUAACCCACUGAGCAAGGCCAGGGAUCAAACUUGCGUCCUUAUGAACAAUAGUCAGGUUCGUUACAGCCGAGCCAUAAUGAGAACUCCAUAUUCUAGUUUCCACUUUGGUACUCUCUAGCCAAGAUUAAAGAUAUUAGAUGAAAUGCGAGGAUCUUGGUCAAUAAUCUGAAACCCCCAUUGCCUCCCCUUCCCCCACCAUCGCGUUUUUACUUAAACAUUUUUAUGAUGAUUAAGAUGGAAGUUGGCUUUUAUCAGUUAAUGUUGGUUCCGGUCUUUCAAACUGUUCGUAUCUGCUUUAUAACAUUCCCUGUACUAACUCUUCUUCACAUCGGGGUGGGGGUGGUGACACAGGGUCGUUAUGGCCUCAAGAUAAAGUCUUAGUGAAAAAUGAAUAAAUGUUCUUUAGUUAUAUUUUAAAAAAAAGAAAUACAGGAGUUCCCGUCGUGGCGCAGUGGUUAACGAAUCCGACUAGGAACCAUGAGGUUGUGGGUUCGGUCCCUGCCUUUGCUCAGUGGGUUAACGAUCCGGCGUUGCCGUGAGCUGUGGUGUAGGUUGCAGACGCGGCUCGGAUCCCGCGUUGCUGUGGCUCUGGCGUAGGCCGGUGGCUACAGCUCCGAUUCGACCCCUAGCCUGGGAACCUCCAUAUGCCGNGCAACGCCCCCAAUGUCCCCAAGUUGGGGCACUGCCUUCAGGAAAGGCUGGCAGGAGCUGAUUUUCUCCACCUGAGGAUGGUUCCCUAGAGUAAACAAACACGGCUGGGCCUCGGGGCUUAGAGAGGGCACUGCAGGCAGAGGGAGCGGCUGAGCAAUGUGCUGGGAAGAAAGAAAUCAGUGUGCUGGUGGGGGGGCAUGGGGCCGAGUCCCACGUGGCUGGGGAGGUGGGGGAGGGAGAGAAAUGAGGCUGAAUGCAGAAGAAGGCGUCGAUCAUCAAAGGCCUCUUAGGCCAGGACUGUAACGACAGGCAGAGUGUAGGGACCAACCACGAGCCAGGCCAGGGUGAGGGGCUUUCUUACCGGUGACUUGGGAAACCCCUUGUGACAGUCCUAGAAAGUGGUAUUAUUUAUCAUCCUCUUUCUCGCCUGAAGACAUUUCCCCCAGGCAGUAAGAGGGGAAGCAGGCUCAGAGGGACCCUGGUUCUUAUUGCAAAGAUAAGAGGCUUGACUGAGGAUGAGAGCGGCAGAUGUUGAGCAGAGGGAAAGGAAGCUGCAGGCUCCUUGGGCUAAAGUGAUGGGGUGGCCAGUGGGGAGCAGGGUGAGGGCCCAGGCCACAGGAGUGGCCUGUGGGAGGAAGGUGGCUGGUGAGUGGGGGGCUGCAGGGAGUAGAAGGGCCUCCCGGGAGAGCCCUGGACUCCUCCACAAGCACAGGGGUCGGCACAGAGCACAGUCACACAAGGGCAGAGCUGGAAGCCACCUUGCAGAAAUCUGGGGAGUAGGACCCUCCUGACUCAUUCGCCCAGCUGUCCCCUCUGGGCUCUAAGCCACCUGACUCCAGUUCAAGUCAACAGCGGCUCUUGCUUAGACGGCUCUAGAGAAGUCCAAAAGCCUCACCACAGCCCAGAAGGUUCUGUGUGGCCUUCUCCUGGGCACGCCCACCCCUCCUUCUCACCUUCCCACCCUGUGCCGCUCCCUCCCUUACCCUCACCCCCACCCCGGACUUCUUCCACUCUGGCUUCGCCACCCAGGACCGCCGGAGUCUUGCAAGGGCUGGCCUCUUUCUGUUCCCGGGGGGUUCAUGCUUGGGGCGCUUCUUGUCAUUUCUCCCAAACACCCGAUUCCACCUCCAGGCUGAUGCCCCUCAUCCUUCAAGAUUCUGCCCACCGAGCCUCCUCCUGCCUCCUGGCUGUUCAGCACUCCCGUGACCCUGGGUCCUUUUCCAGCUAAUGCAUUUCUCACUUGUCAUACUUGUUCCUUAUCUGGCUCCCGCACAACUUUGUGAACCGGACUUGCUCUGCUCCCCAAGGCUGGAACAGUACCUGGCACAGAGCAGGGCUCUGAAAAGUAUUUUUUGGGUGAAUGAACGAGUAAACAAGAAAGAGAAGGAGCAAUGGAAGCUGUGUGUGUAUCCCAAGCUGCACUCUGGCUCCUGGCCUUCCCCUUCCCUGGACCAGCCUCCCCUCUUCUUACCCGCAAGUCUCCACCUCAUCCUAUGUGCUCUGAGAGGUCUCCCUGGGCAUCUGUGACACAGGGGACACUCCUCGUCACAGCACCAUAGGACGCGUCAUCUGAAAGGAUGCAGCUUCAGUAAGUCCCCUGCAACGUGAGGACGGCACCUGGCUCUGUGUGUAAAUCUCACCUCCCCCGCCAAGGCAGCUCCCCCAGGCCUGCCACUGGGCCACACAGAGGGACCCUGUCUAAGGGACGUGAGGGAUGCACACGCUCAGCCACCAGAAGGGUUGACUCACUGUCAAGGGAGGUGAACAUGAAUAAGCAUCAGAUCCAUGUAGCUGCUCCUUCCUCGCACGGACGGAACUCUCUCUACCCACUGGGAUGUGAGUUAGGUGGUACAGGAGAGGGAAACGGUGCUUCAGCCCCGAUCCCUGAGUGCUGAGGGUGUAUGGUCUAGUUACAACAUAAGACCUAAUCAUAAGUCAUCACCAUAUAAGACAAACGCCACCUCCAGACUUCCACGUCUUUAUCAUGCACCAUCCCAGAGUCUGGCUCCACGCCCAUGAGGCACCUGGGCACCUGGUUCCCUCUCUCACUGGGCGGUGUUCACGUGCUCGGCACCAUCUCCUCUGCAUCUCCUGUUUCCAUCUUACCAUUUUACCUUCCCCAGUGUGUGUGUGUAUGCGUGUGUGUGUUUGUUACAGUGAGCUCAUCCCAGGCAAAGUGCAUGUUGCUAAACCAUUCCCUGGCUGUCUACAGACUAUGCCUGGGAAUUGUUUUUUAUGAAUGUUUGAACCCAACAACCUGCCUCUAGCAAACGCAUCCAAUUGGGCAACAUGGCCAGGAAGAGGGUCAAUGCUAGACCUUGAGUCCAAAGGUUUCCAUGAGUACUUGGCGUCCCUAAGCACACUUUCGAGAUCCUGUAAUGGGAAAGGCAAAGGUACCUUAGAUAUAUACAGAGAGAGACCCUGACACAUAGGAAAACGGAGGAGUUGUGUAAGGUGACUCUCUUGGCACUCCUCGAGCACUGAGAUACGGGAGUUGCCAAAGUUUCUCAAAUUCUACCACCCCCACCUGGCGCUGCCUGGAUGAUGAAAUAUUCUGAAGAGUUUGAAUUGCUUCCUCUGAUGAGCGAAGCUAAAACCCAGCACCCCAGCCUGCCUCCUGGGUGAUCACGAAGGACCAUGGGACAGACUGGCAAUGUCCCCACCAACACCCCACAGAGCAGAGCACAGCUCCCCUCUCUCAGUGCCGCCAGCAUUAGAGUGAGUUACUUCACCUACUUGCUGGCAAAGAAAAUGCCAGGUGGAAGCAAAAUGUUGAAACCAAGAUGGAUGGCUCCCCGCCCCGAGGCGCGAUGAAACACUUGGAAGAGGGCUUCCUGGGCGCUUGGCACAUGCGUGAGAGAGCAGGGGAGGGGGUGCUGGGCUGGGGACACCCAGGUCUCAACUUGAACUCGAGCUUGUAACUGGCAGCAGAGAGGCCAAGGAUGGGGCAGGGAAGAGGUUUCAGGGGAUUAGGGCAGCUGCAAUAUUACUGAUACGAAAGAUGCAUGAAUUCCAGCAGCUUAAAAAAAAUCCUUCCCAAUGAAUGAAAUGGUGUGUGUGAAUAUAUGUGCAAGUAUAUAGGUAUCUGGGCGUGCAAAAAUGGGGGUGUGGGGGUGUGUGCACACACAACUGUGGGUGUAUUUGUCUGUGCAUGUGUGUGUGUGUGUUUGUAUGUGAGCAUGAGUGCAUGUGUGAGUUUGGGUACAUUGCCUGGUGUGUGAGUGUGUAUGUUGGUGUGUGUGUGUGCAGGUAUGUGCAUGUGAAUGCAGAUGUGUCUGUGUGUGUGUAUAUAUGUGUGUGCAUAUCUGUGUAUCUGUGUCUGUGUCUGUGUCUGUGUCUGUGUCUGUGCAGCAUUUCGGAAUGAAAACAACCAUGGAAUAAGCUUCAGAAAAGAUGGGCUCUUAUCUUGAUCUGCCACAUAGGAGCUGGGUGACUUUGAGAAAACCGUAUCACCACUCUGUUUUCUCACCUGUUCUAGUUCCAAGAGCAAUACCUAGUACAUAAUAACCACUCACUAAAUAUUUAUUAAAUGAGUGAUUGUUAUUUGGAGGUAAUGCCGCUUCCUUUUCAGGAGAUGAGAAAAUAUAUGCCAAACUCCUCUCUUACUGUCUCAGUGAUCGGCAUACAACAGAAGCCCAGUAAUUCUUAGCCCGUCCCCUCCCCAACUUCAGCUUUUUCCCCUUGGCGGAAGGAGGCUGAUGAAUGACAUGAUGCGUUAGGUCAAAUGUCCCCUGCAGCCCCAUUUCUUGGGCUGAGUCGUCCUGCUGCCCAUGUUCUUGAGCCAAUUUCCAGGGCUUCUGAGUUCCCAUAAUGUUACAUAUUAGCCAGGCCUCUUCUUCCUGCUCUCAGUCAAAUGCUGACAGUAAUUCAUUUGCAAGAAUUAAAUGCAAGAUUGAAUUUUAACAACUCAGAAAUUUGAGGUCAACUGUGCUUUCGGCGACCUUUAGGGGCAGGAAGCCCGGUGAGUGAGCUGGUAUCCCGACUUUUCAUCGGGUGAUACUCUUAUGGGUCACAAUCCUGCAAGAUAGGAAUUAUUAUCCUCUUCAUGCAUUAAAAGGGACAAAAGGCUCUGAGAGGUUGACUGACCCAAGGUCACACCAUCACCCCAGGGCCCCAGCACUGCCUCCAAGCCCAACCAGUGAUGUUCAGAAGUUUCAGGCAGGCAAAAAUCUCCUCACUCAGGAAGACAGGAAUGAGGUCGCUUAUGCUCUGAACCCACACCUCAAACUCUCUGACCAGUCAGCCCCGGUUGAGGAUUGGCAGAUGGAGCCAGGGCCAUGUGGCAAAUCAGAAAACUAGUCAGGUGGGACUGGAACGGUGCCUCUGAGGUAUUUCACAAACACGGGAACAAACACAUUUGGUGUCGCAAUCCUGGCCACCCGGAGCUGCCGCGCUGGCUGUUUUUUGAGAACGGAUGGUGGAUGAGGCCUUCGAGGGCUGACGGGGCCCAGAGGCCCGGGU